AUCGUUACGAAAUUUUAACGAAUAAUAAGACGGCGGGGACAGUGAUUAAUUAGAGUGACGUUCGUUCGUAGCUGUCUGCGAUAACAGGGUAUUUAGCCGCUUUUCCUGGCUUCAAACCUUGUUUACAUAUAUAUUGUGUGUGUGUGGGUGUAUUGUAUGGUGUGUGCGUGCCCGUUUGUGCAUAGACAAACAGUUAGGUUGUUUUCAAUACGCAAAUAAAGUAAUAAAACCUUAAACCCCUGGUGUCAGAGCACAAAGAUUAACCUUUACAAUCGCCCACGCCUGGCACCGCCCGUAGUGACAGCUCUCGUCCAUCUGUGGGAAUAAUCAAUACACACAAAAACAAAGUCAUGGUGCGGUCUAGUGAUAAGCAACAACAGUAGGGCCACGGCCCAGCUACCCGCCCACCGCCUACAACGCAAAAAGCAAACCAACCAAUCGAGCAAACCAUCAACCAACCCCUCAUCCCCAUCAAACCGCAUUGACAGGAAGAACAGCCAAAAGCAAUUACCAAUCCUUCAUCCCCCAAGCGCACCUUUAAUAUCCGGUGGCCAGAAGAAAAAAAGAGCCAUGACACGCGAAGAACGUCAACGAAUUGUGGACACGUCGAAUAGCAGCAGCGGUGAGGAUGAGGCGAAGCCAGUGGUGCGUAGGCGAAGCACCCGCGACACGGUGCUGUCGCCGCCCAAGGACACGGGAUGCUGUGAUCCCUCCAGCACGCCGCAUCGUUUUCUGGCCCUGGUUUUUAUGUGCCUGCUGGGAUUUGGUUCCUACUUUUGUUACGACAACCCCGGGGCUCUGCAGGAUGUUUUCCAAAAGGAGCUGGACCUCAACUCCACCGAGUUCACGCUGAUCUAUUCCAUCUACUCGUGGCCGAACAUUGUGCUCUGCUUCGUGGGAGGCUUCCUGAUCGAUCGCGUCUUUGGCAUCCGUCUGGGCACCAUCAUCUAUAUGCUGAUUGUGCUCGUCGGUCAGUUGAUAUUCGCCACUGGCGGUGUCCUGGGACAUUUCUGGUUGAUGAUCGUUGGUCGUUUUGUGUUCGGCAUUGGGGCAGAGUCGCUGGCUGUGGCCCAAAACAGCUAUGCGGUGCUGUGGUUCAAGGGCAAGGAGCUGAACAUGGUCUUUGGCCUGCAGCUGUCGGUGGCCCGCUUCGGCAGCACUGUCAACUUUUGGAUAAUGCAGCCGUUGUAUGGCUAUGUCUCAAAAUCCUACGCUGGCUACACUGGACUGGGCGUGGCCCUGUUUCUGGCCUCCUCCACCUGUGUGAUGUCUCUGAUUUGCACUCUGAUUCUGGGGUGGAUGGACAAGCGGGCCGAGCGCAUUCUGAAGCGUAAUAACAAUCCGGGCGGAGAGAUUGCCAAGCUGAGCGACAUAGUCACCUUCAAGAUGGACUUCUGGAUGGUGUCGGUGGUAUGUGUGGCCUACUAUGUGGCCAUCUUUCCCUUCGUUGCCUUGGGACAGGCUUUCUUCGUGAACAAUUUCCACAUGACCCCGGACGAGGCAAACACUGUCAACUCGAUUGUCUACCUGAUCUCGGCCAUAGCCUCGCCACUGUUUGGCUUCAUCAUCGAUAAGGUGGGACGCAAUGUGACCUGGGUGUUCUGUGCCACCAUUUCCACAUUUGUGGCUCAUGCCCUGCUGACAUUCACCCACCUGGAUCCGUACAUUGGCAUGAGCGUUAUGGGUCUCUCCUAUUCCAUGCUGGCGGCCAGCCUGUGGCCUUUGGUUUCCCUGAUUGUUCCCGAAUAUCAGCUGGGCACGGCAUAUGGCUUCUGCCAGUCAGUGCAGAAUUUGGGCCUCGCUGUGGUGACCAUUGUAGCCGGCAUCAUUGUGGAUAGCAGCGGUGGCAGUCACUUCUGGCUGCAGCUCUUUUUUAUGCUGUUCCUACUGAUUUCUUUGAUGGCCACUUGUGCGAUUUGGGCCUACAAUCGCAAGCAUCAGGGCAAUUUGAAUAUGUCGCCAGCACAGCGGGCCACGUAUCACACAUCGAUGUACGUGAAUAUUGAGUCGAGUUGAUUGAUGUACUACUGAGCAUGCCUAUUGAUUGAUUGAUUGAUGUUGUGUAUUGCUGUCUAUAUCUAUAUCUCAAUCCGACGCGCAACUGUGGAUCGACGGCCUCUAUUGGGCCACUAAAUAUGUACUACUUACUAUGGAUACUACCCGUAUUGAUUAACCCAAACUAAAAAUAACCCAAUUGUGAUGUUACCGCCAUCUCUCUAUUGUACUUGACUUGUUAUGCAACCUUGGAGCAGAUUCUGCUAACCGCACAAUUGUCGUGGUCGUGGGGUCUUGAUCUUGACCUUGGUCGUUAUUGUAUUCGUGUAUUCCGUUCCGUUCCGUUCCGUUCAACUCCUAGCCAAUAUCCAAAUAUUAUACAUAUCAGUAUAUGCAGAAAUUAUUGUUAUAAUUAUCGAUUAUUGUUUUUUUGUUUUAUAAUAAAUAAAUGUAAAUGUACAUUCAC